rnacentral:lncRNA from 1 species
CUGCCAGAGCUGUUGUUGUUUUUCCGGUCCUAAUGUCGUGUUUGUGCUCCUCUAGUCUUUGUUGUAGAGUUCUACUUGUUACUCCUACGUAUGUUGCUUGCAUGUUUCGAGACAGGUAACUGAAGGGUAUUGUAUAUACUCCUGCUCUUUCGGUGUUCUUUUUUCUAUCCUACUCAUUGCGUACGGAGUUGAAGAUGGAUGGUGGCCUCUUCACAGAAAUUGUAUUUCCCGACUUUCUUACUAUGCCUCUUACGGUGUUUGAUUUACUUAUCUAGUAAGGAAUUGCCACAAAAGCGUCUCUCUGGUCUACUUGUCAUCAUAUAUUGCGGGAGGUGUUCUGGAAGUUACUUCUUGUCUUCCUAUGUAUUCUGGCCACAAACUGUUUGCUGUAUCCAUGUUCAAAUGCUAUGCGGUAUAUAAAUUCGAUCUCUUGGGCUAGUAAGUGCUGGUUGGAGGAGUAUGUAUAUGCUUUUUUGAAAUAAUAAUUAAAC